rnacentral:tRNA from 1 species
GGGGUGUAGUUCAGUGGUAGAGCAUUUGCCUAGCAUACAUGAGGCCCUGGGAUCCAUCCCCAGCACUACCG